CCAGCGGAGCUUCUGCUUCUGCGGCCUCGUCGCUGAGAACUGGUUCCCAGAGAUCGCCAUUGACCGGACAAAGUGGGAAACAGUCCGGGCUGCGUGUGUCUGGAAGAUGCUCCAGUCGGAAACAUGAGCCACUGAAACCAUCGACAUGAAAGGAGGAUCUGAAUAACCACAGAUGUUUUCUUCUUCAGUGGCCUCUGCAGCUUGAUGCUUCAUCAUUUAAAUAAUAUAUUUAUAAAAAACUACGCCUCCACCUGCUGCUCCAGCGGAUGCUCCACCUCCUCAAACACGUACGGCGCUCCGGUGGAAGGCUUGUGGCCGUUUACCAGCGGUUCUGGCAGAACCUCCGGGUCGGCUGGAGCUGCAGUCAGGCCUGAUGUAGCUCCAGAGUUGUGCUGUUACCUGAGAGGGCGGUGCACAUGGCGGCGAAGGCACUGAGUUUCAGCUUGUUCAUGACGCUGAAGCAGCGGCUCUGCUCCAGAAC